ACUGUAAGCAACUGUAAGUUGCUCUGGAUAAGAGCGUCUGCUAAAUGACUAAAA
rfam:Salmo salar isolate Sally breed double haploid chromosome ssa06, whole genome shotgun sequence.